CGGCGAGCAUUGUAGCAGUUACAGCCCCGCUCCUGUGCCAGGGAAGUCCACUACGGGCUCACCAUAGCCCGUGCUACUUUGGAACUUUUGUUCUAAGUAGCUGAAUCUAAAACAACGAGCAUUGUAGGGGAUUGAAACGAGAGCAGCAGCCGCCGCGGACGGACUUACACCUCUACUCCAGCCAAGAUACUUUACCAUAGGAUAAAAGCUGAGGCCCCGUUAGUCUCGUAAGCAGCACUGACCGUCGUGGGUGGCGGUGAAUCAGCACAGGAAGAAGCUGAACAAAUCUACAAGGGCCGUGACGAGGAUUCGAACCUGCGUCCGGGAGCAUCCCAGACGCAGGUUGAGAAGCUGCUGCUGCUCUACUGAACUGUUUAAAUAAAUGGCCAGCACCUGGAGACCUCUGCGUUGCUUGUAGCUGCUACUGCUAAGUCAACGAAACACGAACUACACUGACGUCUGCUUCACGUUUUCACCAUGAUCGAGCGUCGAGCAUCGCCUGCGGACGGGUACACAAGCCCACGACGAGACACUCAUCAACAUCACAAAAAUCCCCCAAAAGUUCUGCAGGGACCAAACCUUUCUGAAUGAUCUGGAGGGCAAACAACUCUUUAAUGGACUGGCCUAAUGCUGCCUGUUCUCUCCGCUGGCAGACGCGCGGCAUUCAGACGAGUCUGCAAUAUCAGCACAUUGAUGCCCUGCAACACCUUACGAACUCGGGCCUGCACGUGUUAACGUCCGUAGAAGACCAUCAUAUGGACACAUGCUUCUCUGGACAUGGAAGACCUGCCUGUUGACCAUGAUACCUAUAUCAUGUUCUCUUCUCGCCUGCUAUCCCCAUUUCAAGCCACGUAGAGUUCACGGUCUCAUCACGUGGUGGGACACGUGCCUCUUAAAGUGUCUGCAAACAGCCUCCAGUGAAUCAGAGGUCAUCUCCUUACAGGGGCAAACUGUAACCUAUUUGAAAUGUACAUGAAAUUCUUUCGUGUUUACUAUCCUUUUUAUGGUAUCUUGGGUCAUGAGGCUACCUAUGUCAAAUCAUAUACAAUGCACUUUUUUUUAACACUAUCUUUUAUGUUAAUUAGAUGGAAUUCUUUGGGUGUACGCCCGUGUGUGGAGGGGGGGGGGGGGAGAGACCUAACAUCCCCCCCCUCU